rnacentral:rRNA from 1 species
AGAGUUUGAUCAUGGCUCAGGAUGAACGCUGGCGGCGUGCCUAACACAUGCAAGUCGAACGGACCGAGGCGAGCUUGCUCGAAUCGGCCAGUGGCGGACGGGUGAGUAACGCGUGGGUAACCUGCCGUAUACAGGGGGAUAACACUUAGAAAUAGGUGCUAAUACCGCAUAAGCGCACGGUAUCGCAUGAUACAGUGUGAAAAGCCGAGACGGUAUACGAUGGACCCGCGUCUGAUUAGCCGGUUGGCGGGGUAACGGCCCACCAAAGCAACGAUCAGUAGCCGGCCUGAGAGGGUGGACGGCCACAUUGGGACUGAGACACGGCCCAAACUCCUACGGGAGGCAGCAGUGGGGGAUAUUGCACAAUGGGGGGAACCCUGAUGCAGCGACGCCGCGUGAGUGAAGAAGUAUUUCGGUAUGUAAAGCUCUAUCAGCAGGGAAGAAAAUGACGGUACCUGAGUAAGAAGCACCGGCUAAAUACGUGCCAGCAGCCGCGGUAAUACGUAUGGUGCAAGCGUUAUCCGGAUUUACUGGGUGUAAAGGGAGCGUAGACGGCGUGACAAGUCUGAAGUGAAAGCCCGGGGCUCAACCGCGGGACUGCUUUGGAAACUGCCAUGCUGGAGUGCAGGAGAGGUAAGUGGAAUUCCUGGUGUAGCGGUGAAAUGCGUAGAUAUCAGGAGGAACACCGGCGGCGAAUGCGGCUUACUGGACUGUAACUGACGUUGAGGCUCGAAGGCGUGGGGAGCAAACAGGAUUAGAUACCCUGGUAGUCCACGCGGUAAACGAUGAUCACUAGGUGU